GUGUUCACUUCAGCAGUACAUAAACUAAAAUUGGAACAAUACAGAGAAGAUAAGCAUGGCCACUGGGAAUUCCACCACAUUAAUUCAUGAAGCAUUCCAUAUUUUU
rnacentral:snRNA from 1 species